rnacentral:lncRNA from 1 species
GGCGAUUCUGCCCACCGUUGUUAUUCUGUGGUCGAUUAUAAGGUUUAGCAACUUGCUUUCCCUUGUUCUGAUAAUUCACCCGACUAGGGCCUCCUGAAUUAAAAUUCCCUCCUCGGAUAGCCCUCUUACUUUUCAUAUCCUCCACUUCUCUACAUUUUUCUACAAGCGCUUGGAAACGUUGAAUUCCCAAGGGUAAGACGGAGUCUUGAAUCUCAUACUUCAGUCCGUCUUGGAAACGAU